AAAAUAUAUUUCCGAGCUCUCAAAAGCAACUUGUAAAUCAGCGAACAGUACGCUUGAUCCCAACAAGGUGUAUCACUGUGUUUGCCCUGGCGACCUAAAUCAAAUCCCCAACGGACAGUAUAAAUAAAAAAAAAAAAUAUAUUUCCGAGCUCUCAAAAGCAACUUGUAAAUCAGCGAACAGUACGCUUGAUCCCAACAAGGUGUAUCACUGUGUUUGCCCUGGCGACCUAAAUCAAAUCCCCAACGGACAG